rnacentral:lncRNA from 1 species
CACCACUGUUGUUGGAGGAGGAGGACGAGGAGAGGCAGGAGCUAAUGGAGGAUGACGAGGGAGAUGAGCAGGAGGAGCACCAUCACCACGGGGCAAAGCUGCGCACCACGGCUGAAGCGCCGCCUUACGGCCAUGGAGUUGCAGAGGACUACUGGUGGAGGGAUGUGCCGGUGAGGCUCCCUAGCGUCAGUUGCGGGGCGGUGCUAGCGCUGGUCGACUACGAGGCGAUGCCAGCAUGGUGGAGUAGCGGGGCAGUGCUGGCGUCGUUGCGGGCCGCUGACAGUGGUUGGCUGCGGGACGAUGUUGGCUAGGCAGUGAGUG